rfam:Exophiala xenobiotica strain CBS 118157 unplaced genomic scaffold supercont1.3, whole genome shotgun sequence.
UCCCCUGUGGCGCAAUUGGCUAGCGCGUCAGACUGUUAAUCAACCAGGUUGUGCAGUUGUGCACGAACUGAGGCUGUUAAUCAGGCAAAUCUGGAGGCUGGAAGUUCGAGCCUUCCCGGGGGAG